AUGAAUCCCAACACCAUUAUCAAGGCCCUUCGGGGCACCAUGGACCCUGCCCUGCGUGAGGCCACGGAGUGACAGCUUAAUGAAGCACACAAGUCUCUGAAUUUUGUGUCAACACUGCUUCAGAUUACUAUGUCGGAACAACUGGAAUUACCUGUGAGACAGGCAGGUGUUAUAUAUUUGAAAAAUAUGAUAACACAGUAUUGGCCUGAUUGAGAGACAGCACCAGGGGAUAUAUCCCCUUACACUAUUCCAGAAGAAGAUCGACAUUGUAUUCGAGAAAAUAUUGUAGAAGCCAUUAUCCACUUGCCUGAGCUUAUAAGGGUACAGCUUACUACAUGCAUUCACCAUAUCAUCAAACAUGAUUAUCCAAGCCGUUGGACUGCCACUGUGGACAAAAUUGGCUUUUUAUCUUCAGUCUGAUAACAGUGCUUGCUGGCUAGGCAUUCUUCUUUGCCUUUAUCAGCUUGUGAAAAAUUAUGAGUGUAAGAAACCAGAGGAACGGAGUCCAUUGGUAGCAGCAAUGCAGCAUUUCUUGCCAGGUCUAAAGGAUCGUUUUAUCCAGCUUCUUCCAGAUCAGUCAGAUCAGUCUGUCUUAAUCCAGAAACAAAUACUCAAGAUUUUCUAUGCUCUUGUUCAGUAUACACUACCUUUGGAACUGAUAAACCAACAGAAUUUGACCGAAUGGAUAGAAAUUUUAAAGACGGUUGUGAACAGAGAUGUACCUAAUGAAACACUGCAAGUUGAAGAAGAUGAUAGACCCGAGUUGCCAUGGUGGAAAUGUAAGAAGUGGGCUUUACAUAUCUUAGCAAGGCUUUUUGAAAGAUAUGGAAGUCCUGGCAAUGUUUCCAAGGAGUAUAAUGAAUUUGCUGAAGUAUUUCUGAAAGCAUUUGCUGUUGGGGUCCAGCAAGUUUUAUUGAAGGUAUUAUAUCAGUACAAGGAAAAGCAAUACAUGGCUCCUCAAGUUUUGCAACAGACAUUAAAUUACAUUGAUCAAGGAGUUUCCCAUGCCCUCACCUGGAAAAAUCUGAAGCCUCAUAUACAAGGCAUUAUCCAAGAUGUUAUUUUUCCAUUGAUGUGCUAUACAGAUGCUGAUGAAGAACUUUGGCAAGAAGACCCUUAUGAAUAUAUACGUAUGAAGUUUGAUGUAUUUGAAGAUUUCAUUUCUCCUACCACUGCUGCCCAGACACUUUUGUUUACAGCGUGUAGUAAGAGAAAAGAGGUUCUGCAAAAGACUAUGGGAUUUUGCUAUCAGAUUCUUACAGAACAAAAUGCUGAUCCUCGAAAAAAAGAUGGUGCCCUGCAUAUGAUUGGAUCUUUAGCAGAAAUACUUCUGAAGAAAAAGAUCUACAAAGAUCAGAUGGAAUACAUGUUGCAGAAUCAUGUAUUCCCUCUCUUCAGCAGUGAACUAGGAUACAUGAGAGCAAGGGCUUGCUGGGUCCUUCAUUAUUUUUGUGAAGUAAAGUUCAAAAGCGACCGGAACCUGCAAACAGCCUUAGAACUAACAAGAGGAUGUCUGAUAGAGGAUAGGGAAAUGCCUGUGAAAGUGGAGGCUGCUAUUGCACUUCAGGUGUUGAUCAGCAAUCAAGAAAAAGCUAAAGAAUAUAUCACUCCAUUCAUUAGACCUGUUAUGCAGGCUCUUCUUCACAUUAUAAGAGAAACUGAAAAUGAUGAUCUUACCAAUGUAAUUCAGAAAAUGAUCUGCGAGUAUAGUGAAGAAGUAACUCCUAUUGCAGUAGAAAUGACACAACAUUUGGCAAUGACAUUUAAUCAGGUAAUUCAGACUGGGCCAGAUGAAGAAGGAAGUGAUGACAAAGCUGUUACUGCUAUGGGAAUCUUGAAUACAAUUGACACACUUCUUAGUGUAGUUGAAGAUCAUAAAGAGAUAACCCAGCAACUUGAGGGGAUCUGCUUACAGGUCAUUGGUACUGUUUUACAACAGCAUGUCUUAGAAUUCUAUGAGGAGAUCUUCUCAUUAGCACAUAGUUUGACUUGUCAACAGGUGUCUCCACAGAUGUGGCAACUACUACCUCUUGUGUUUGAGGUCUUUCAGCAAGAUGGCUUUGAUUACUUUACAGAUAUGAUGCCUCUGCUUCAUAAUUAUGUAACAGUUGAUACAGAUACACUUUUAUCUGAUACAAAGUAUCUGGAAAUGAUCUAUAGUAUGUGCAAAAAGGUUCUUACAGGAGUUGCAGGAGAAGAUGCACAAUGUCAUGCAGCAAAAUUAUUGGAGGUCAUCAUUCUGCAGUGCAAAGGACAUGGCAUUGAUCAGUGCAUUCCCUUAUUUGUGGAAGCUGCCUUAGAGAGACUGACCAGAGAAGUUAAGACGAGUGAACUUCGAACAAUGUGCCUGCAAGUUGCUAUUGCAGCGUUGUAUUAUAAUCCUCACCUACUGCUGAAUACCUUAGAAAAUCUUCGCUUUCCUAAUAAUGUUGAACCAGUUACAAAUCAUUUUAUUACACAGUGGCUUAAUGAUGUUGAUUGUUUCUUGGGGCUUCAUGACAGAAAGAUGUGUGUUCUGGGCUUCUGUGCUCUUAUUGAUAUGGAACAAAUACCCCAGGUUUUAAAUCAGGUUUCGGGACAGAUUUUGCCAGCAUUUAUCCUUUUAUUUAAUGGAUUAAAAAGAGCAUAUGCUUGCCAUGCAGAACACGAGAAUGACAGUGAGGAUGACGAUGAAGGUGAAGAUGAUGAUGAAACAGAGGAACUAGGAAGUGAUGAAGAUGAUAUUGAUGAAGAUAACCAGGAAUAUCUGGAGAUUCUGGCUAAGCAGGCAGGUGAAGAUGGAGAUGAUGAAGAUUGGGAAGAAGACGAUGCUGAAGAGACUGCUCUGGAAGGCUAUUCCACAAUCAUUGAUGAUGAAGACAACCCUGUUGAUGAGUAUCAGAUAUUUAAAGCUAUAUUCCAAACUAUUCAGAAUCGUAAUCCUGUAUGGUACCAGGCUCUGACUCAUGGUCUUAAUGAGGAACAAAGAAUACAGUUACAGGAUAUUGAAACUCUGGCAGAUCAAAGAAGAGCAGCCCAUGAAUCCAAAAUGAUUGAGAAGUAUGGAGGAUACAAAUUCAGUGCUCCAGUUGUGCCAAGUUCUUUCAAUUUUGGAGGCCCGGCACCAGGGAUGAAUUGGGUUAUUACUUUCUUUCCUGCUGUGUGUUUGUAGUGAAGAGCUUGUGUUCCUCCUAGUAGUGGUUCCAGAACUGGUUCAUGUCCAUCAAUAGAUUGGACAGAAAAACCCAAGUGGGACCUGAUCAUGCAACCUGGCACUGGAAAGAAAAAACCCAGAGGGAUUUUGGGGGGAGGGAAUAAUUUAGGGGGGAUUUUAUUUUUUGAAGAAAGUAAGAUUCUGAUUCUGAAGCUUCAAAUGACACUGUGGAAUUCUGUGUGCAAGAGGGAAUGUCAUGAAGGCAGCUUUUCUUUUUCUGAGGAAAAAAUAGGCAUGGGCUACAGGACUAUUUAAAAUGUCUCAUUUACAGUAUAAGCUCAAAGGUAGAUGUAAUUUUUACACCUAUGAGUUAUUUGUCCAAUUCUAUCUCUUCUACACCAUUGGGUAUCUAUUCUUUACAUGUAAAUAAGGUAAGGUAAUCUGGUAGCCUUAUUCAGUCUUCUCAUUUCCAUCCAUCAGAAAUUGUUCCUAUGUAGAUUAUUGGACAUUUCUUGUAGCACUACAUAACUGAUUUUAAAAAAAAUCUGUAAAUGAAUUAGCACUUUCAUAUUGAAACAAGCCUGUUAGCCUAUGAAUAGCAAAAUGUUUGCUGUUUAUUAAAAGAAGGGAUGUAAUAGGGUGGGGCGGGUGGGGUAAUUUCAAGUUAUUAAUUUAAAAAAUGAACUAGAAUUUUGUACCUGGUGACUUUGUGGUACACUCACCUCUGAUAGUGACUUGAAUUCGGUAUGUACGAAGGGGUUAGUGAUAUUUCAUUGCUGCUAAGAAAAAAUGGCAACUCCCUUCAUGUCCUGUUUUUCUUAAAGCUCUCAGUGUACAAGUCAAAAUUUGGAUACAUGGCCUUCCUUACUGUAACAAAUAAGAAAAGCUUGUUUGAAGCAUGUAAUUGGACAUAAAGUUCUACUCUUAAAGAGUGGAUCAAAGAGUGUGGCUAAACAUCUAUAUAUGCAGCCUUAUUAAAAAAACUUAAU